CCUACGGGAGGCAGCAGUGGGGGAUAUUGCACAAUGGGGGAAACCCUGAUGCAGCGACGCCGCGUGAGGGAAGAAGGAUCUCGGGAUGUAAAGCUCUAUCAGCAGGGAAGAAAAUGACAGUACCUGACCAAGAAGCCCCGGCUAACUACGUGCCAGCAGCCGCGGUAAUACGUAGGGGGCAAGCGUUAUCCGGAUUUACUGGGUGUAAAGGGAGCGUAGACGGUUGUGUAAGUCUGGAGUGAAAGCCCGGGGGCCAACCCCGGGACUGCGUUUGAAACUGUGUAACUGGAGUACAGGAGGGGCAGGCGGAAUUCCUGGUGUAGCGGUGAAAUGCGUAGAUAUCAGGAGGAACACCGGCGGCGAAGGCGGCCUGCUGGACUGAAACUGACGUUGAGGCUCGAAAGCGUGGGGAGCAAACAGGAUUAGAUACCCGGGUAGUC
rnacentral:rRNA from 1 species